UACGGAGGGGGCUAGCGUUGUUCGGAAUUACUGGGCGUAAAGCGCACGUAGGCGGCUUUGUAAGUUAGAGGUGAAAGCCCGGGGCUCAACUCCGGAAUUGCCUUUAAGACUGCAUCGCUAGAAUUGUGGAGAGGUAAGUGGAAUUCCGAGUGUAGAGGUGAAAUUCGUAGAUAUUCGGAAGAACACCAGUGGCGAAGGCGGCAUCCUGGACCGGCAUUGACGCUGAGGCGCGAAAGCCAGGGGAGCAAACGGG
rnacentral:rRNA from 1 species